rnacentral:rRNA from 1 species
AGAAUCAACGCUGGCGGCGUGCCUAACACAUGCAAGUCGAACGAGAAAGUGGAGCAAUCCAUGAGUACAGUGGCGACCGGGUGAGUAACACGUGACUACCUACCCUUGAGUGGGGGAUAACCUCGGGAAACCGAGGCUAAUACCGCAUAAUAUCGAGAGAUCAAAGGAGUAAUCCGCUUUUGGAGGGGGUCGCGGCUGAUUAGCUAGUUGGUAGGGUAAUGGCCUACAAAGGCGAAGAUCGGUAUCCGGCCUGAGAGGGCGCACGGACACACUGGAACUGAAACACGGUCCAGACUCCUACGGGAGGCAGCAGUGGGAAUUUUGCGCAAUGGGGGAAACCCUGACGCAGCAACGCCGCGUGGAGGAUGAAGCCCCUUGGGGUGUAAACUCCUUUCGACCGGGAAAAUAAUGAUGGUACCGGUGGAAGAAGCACCGGCUAACUCUGCGCCAGCAGCCGC